rnacentral:rRNA from 1 species
CAGCAGCCGCGGGAAAACGAAGGGUGCAAGCGUUAAUCGGAAUUACUGGGCGUAAAGCGUGCGCAGGCGGUUUGUUAAGACAGAUGUGAAAUCCCCGGGCUCAACCUGGGAACUGCAUUUGUGACUGGCAAGCUAGAGUCUGGCAGAGGGGGGUGGAAUUCCGCGUGUAGCAGUGAAAUGCGUAGAUAUGCGGAGGAACACCGAUGGCGAAGGCAGCCCCCUGGGCCAACACUGACGCUCAUGCACGAAAGCGUGGGGAGCAAACAGGAUUAGAUACCCCUGUAGUCCCUGUCUCUUAUAC